rnacentral:rRNA from 1 species
GAUGAACGCUGGCGGCGUGCCUAAUACAUGCAAGUCGAGCGAAGCGGGGACGGGUGAGUAACACGUGGAUAACCUCCUAUAAGACUGGGAUAACUUCGGGAAACCGGAGCUAAACCGGAUAAUUAUAGAUGGAUACGCGCUGCAUUAGCUAGUGGGUAAGGUAACGGCUUACCAAGGCAACGAUGCAUAGACGACCUGCGAGGGUGGUCGGCCACCCUGGCACUGCGGUACGGUCCCGACUCCUACGGGAGGCAUCAGUAGGGAAUCUUCCGCAAUGGGCGAAAGCCUGACUGAGCCACGCCGCGUGAGUGAUGAAGGUCUACGGAUCGUAAAACUCUGUUAUUAGUGAAGCGGUACCUAAUCAGAAAGCCACGGCUAACUACGUGCCAGCAGCCGCGGUAAUAC